rnacentral:rRNA from 1 species
UACGUAGGAUGCGAGCGUUGUCCGGAAUUAUUGGGCGUAAAGCGAACGUAGGCGGUUUCUUAAGAUUGGUCUUAAAGACCGGGGCUCAACCCCGGGAAUGGAUCGAUAACUGGGAGACUGGAGGACGUCAGAGGAAAGUGGAAUUCCACGUGUAGCAGUGAAAUGCGUAGAGAUGUGGAGGAACACCGAUGGCGAAGGCAGUGUCCUGGCGAGUGACUGACGCUGAGGUGCGAAAGCCAGGGGAGCGAACGGG